rnacentral:rRNA from 1 species
GACGAACGCUGGCGGCGUGCUUAACACAUGCAAGUCGAACGGAAAGGCCCUGCUUUUGUGGGGUGCUCGAGUGGCGAACGGGUGAGUAACACGUGAGUAACCUGCCCUUGACUUUGGGAUAACUUCAGGAAACUGGGGCUAAUACCGGAUAGGAUCUCCUGCUGCAUGGUGGGGGUUGGAAAGUUUCGGCGGUUGGGGAUGGACUCGCGGCUUAUGAGCUUGUUGGUGGGGUAGUGGCUUACCAAGGCUUUGACGGGUAGCCGGCCUGAGAGGGUGACCGGCCACAUUGGGGCUGAGAUACGGCCCAGACUGCUACGGGAGGCAGCAGUGGGGAAUAUUGCACAAUGGGAGGAAGCAUGAUGCAGCAACGCCGCGUGCGGGAUGACGGCCUUCGGGUUGUAAACCGCUUUCGCCUGUGACGAAGCGUGAGUGACGGUAAUGGGUAAAGAAGCACCGGCUAACUACGUG